rnacentral:rRNA from 1 species
AUACGUAGGGUGCAAGCGUUAAUCGGAAUUACUGGGCGUAAAGCGUGCGCAGGCGGUUUUGUAAGACAGUGGUGAAAUCCCCGGGCUCAACCUGGGGACUGCCAUUGUGACUGCAAGGCUGGAGUGCGGCAGAGGGGGAUGGAAUUCCGCGUGUAGCAGUGAAAUGCGUAGAUAUGCGGAGGAACACCGAUGGCGAAGGCAAUCCCCUGGGCCUGCACUGACGCUCAUGCACGAAGGCGUGGGGAGCAAACAGGAUUAGAUACCCUGGUAGUCCACGCCCUAAACGAUGUCAACUGGUUGUUGGGGAUUUAUUUUCUCAGUAACGAAGCUAACGCGUGAAGUUGACCGCCUGGGGAGUACGGCCGCAAGGUUAAAACUCAAAUGAAUUGACGGGG